GGCCGGGCUGGAUGGUCUCGCUGCAAGGUGAGCACUGUUUGGUCUGGCCUCUCCUUCUGGUAAACCACCGUGCUCUUAACUGGGUGCGAUGGGGAACCAGGACUUUUACUUUGAAAAAAUUAGAGUGUUCAAAGCAGGCUUACGCCUGAAUACAUUAGCAUGGAAUAAUAGAAUAGGACU
rnacentral:rRNA from 1 species